rnacentral:rRNA from 1 species
AUCAAAAAGCGGAGGAAAAGAAACCAACAGGGAUUGCCUUAGUAGCGGCGAGUGAAGCGGCAAAAGCUCAAAUUUGAAAUCUGGCACUUUCAGUGUCCGAGUUGUAAUUUGAAGAAGGUAUCUUUGGGUCUGGCUCUUGUCUAUGUUUCUUGGAACAGAACGUCACAGAGGGUGAGAAUCCCGUGCGAUGAGAUGUCCCAGACCUAUGUAAAGUUCCUUCGAAGAGUCGAGUUGUUUGGGAAUGCAGCUCUAAGUGGGUGGUAAAUUCCAUCUAAAGCUAAAUAUUGGCGAGAGACCGAUAGCGAACAAGUACAGUGAUGGAAAGAUGAAAAGAACUUUGAAAAGAGAGUGAAAAAGUACGUGAAAUUGUUGAAAGGGAAGGGCUUGAGAUCAGACUUGGUAUUUUGUAUGUUACUCUCUCGGGGGUGGCCUCUACAGUUUACCGGGCCAGCAUCAGUUUGAGCGGUAGGAUAAGUGCAAAGAAAUGUGGCACUGCUUCGGUAGUGUGUUAUAGUCUUUGUCGAUACUGCCAGCUUAGACUGAUGACUGCCGCUUCCGCCUACGAUGUUGGCAUAAUGAUCUUAAGUCACCCGUCCUG